AACCGGGGGAACUGAAACAUCUAAGUACCCCGAGGAAAAGAAAUCAACCGAGAUUCCCCCAGUAGCGGCGAGCGAACGGGGAGGAGCCCAGAGCCUGAAUCAGCAUGUGUGUUAGUGGAAGCGUCUGGAAAGGCGCGCGAUACAGGGUGACAGCCCCGUACACAAAAGCGCAUGUGCUGUGAGCUCGAUGAGUAGGGCGGGACACGUGGUAUCCUGUCUGAAUAUGGGGGGACCAUCCUCCAAGGCUAAAUACUCCUGACUGACCGAUAGUGAACCAGUACCGUGAGGGAAAGGCGAAAAGAACCCCGGCGAGGGGAGUGAAAAAGAACCUGAAACCGUGUACGUACAAGCAG
rnacentral:rRNA from 1 species